rnacentral:rRNA from 1 species
ACGGGAGGCAGCAGUGAGGGAUAUUGCACAAUGGGGGAAACCCUGAUGCAGCGACGCCGCGUGAGUGAAGAAGUAUUUCGGUAUGUAAAGCUCUAUCAGCAGGGAAGAAAAUGACGGUACCUGACUAAGAAGCCCUGGCUAACUACGUGCCAGCAGCCGCGGUAAUACGUAGGGGGCAAGCGUUAUCCGGAUUUACUGGGUGUAAAGGGAGCGUAGACGGUAUGGCAAGUCUGGUGUGAAAACCCGGGGCUCAACCCCGGGAUUGCAUUGGAAACUGUCAAACUAGAGUGCAGGAGAGGUAAGUGGAAUUCCUAGUGUAGCGGUGAAAUGCGUAGAUAUUAGGAGGAACACCAGUGGCGAAGGCGGCUUACUGGACGGUAACUGACGUUGAGGCUCGAAAGCGUGGGGAGCAAACAGGAUUAGAUACCCUGGUA